CCGGACUGACAAUCUGUCAGUUCGGGCAAUUUCCCGAAGGGCCGCUCCAUUUUUUUGUGAAAUGGGCCUCUGCUUUAUGGCGAUUUGAGGUAGAGAGACUUUACAGCGUGCAGCCGUGCACGCUGUGAUUCUCCUUCACAGACACAGCAAGCAGCUGCAUGUUCCUUCCUCCUCCCUCCUCCCAUCUCCUAAGAUUAGUCAGGAAGUCAAAGUCCCUCUGAUUGGCCAGCAGACGGGGUGGGAGGAGUCUGAGGGUUCCGUGCUGUUUCAGGAAGCUCCUAGGAGAGGGUUGGCGCCUUCUGCCAAACUCAAGUGGAAGAAUUCCCAGCCCAACGAUGGAGUCGUUGAAAAAAAACAAAACAAAACAAAGAGCUGCCAAUUAAUGUGUCAUAAAUAGGCCCUUUGCAAGCCAUGGCGAAUUAAGAUGUGGUUUCACGUUUCACGUCUAUGAUCGCAACGUGACCAGAAGAUCAAUGACAGCAAUGGCCUCCUGACAUCAAAGCUGCUAGUUGGCUUCUUCAAGUCUCAGAACAUGUGGGCUGCUUAAAUAACUAACUAACAUCAGGACAUGAAUGCAGCAGUAGCCCCCAGAGGUGCCCUUCAUGGACAUGGAUUGAAUGACGUCACUUUCACGGAAUCCUAAUUUUUAAGGAGGAAAGAAGCUUGUAGCUAUCUGGGAGGGUUUAUUCCUAGUGAGAUGGUAAUUAGCUCCUCAUAGCUCUUAUAAUUGAGAUCAUUUGUUUUUUUUUUCUUCUACUGGCCAAUUCUAUAUCAGUUGUGGUGUUUUGAAUGGACCCUUCGCUUUGUCAAAUAUGCAAUAAAAUGCUAACAAUUAAA